rnacentral:lncRNA from 1 species
AUAAGGUACUGAUAAAGGCUCAAGUUUAGAGUUGCUAGAUAGCAACCUGCUUUUCUAGGCAGUGAGCAAUUGAAAAACAAAAGCAAGAAAAAGGCAAAAGAAAAGAAAAAGUGAAAAAAAAAAUGAAAAGAGAAGAUAAAGCUCACUACAAGGGAAAGCUGGGAAAAAGAAAGAUAGUUUCUCUUUGAUGAGUGCAUGUUUAUACCC